GAUGAAGAACGCAGCGAAAUGCGAUAAGUAAUGUGAAUUGCAGAAUUCAGUGAAUCAUCGAAUCUUUGAACGCACCUUGCGCCCUUUGGCUAUUCCGAAGGGCAUGCCUGUUUGAGUAUCAUGAAAACCUCAACUCUCAUGGCUUGCCAUGAUGAGCUUGGACUCUGGGGGUCUUGCUGGCUUUACGGUCAGCUCCUCUCAAAUAAAUCAGCUUGCCGGUGUUUGGUGGGAUCACAGGUGUGAUAACUAUCUACGCUUGUGGUUUGCCGCCAGGUAACCUUCAGCAAUGGAGGUUCGCUGGAGCUCAUAAAUGUCUCUCCUCAGCGAGGACAGAUUUUGACCGUUUGAUCUCAAAUCAGGUAGGACUACCCGCUGAACUUAAGCAUAUCAAUAAGCGGAGGA
rnacentral:misc_RNA from 1 species